GGCGGACUUCCUGUUUACCUCAGACACAAUCUGAAGGCAGAGUUUCCGUGGUCUUCGCUGAAUCCCGUUUUACUAUUCUUCAGAUUGUGUACAUCACAGUCCUGACACUUGGGACCUGUAACACGAAGGAACAGCGAGAAGUGGGCAAGCAGGUCAACGAAUGUAGUGAAUAAUGUUCCAACAGCUCUCCCAGGAUGGCAGGGGAUAUCUGAACAAAGUUCAUGCAGCAUGUCACAUGUGACAGACAGAGGUAGACUGAAGAAGUCUGCCUUUCACUAUCAACAUUUUUGCAGAAGAGUGGAAGUGAUGUCUCUGUCAGAGAUGAAUCACAUCAUUCUCCAGAGGGACCUCCUGGCCUCUAUCUGAAAUUAUACAUUAUUGUGUUGCUGCAAGGUACAUUUAUUUCUGUAGUUGGACCAUUUAAGAAGGAUGCAUUGCAAGUAAUGGAGAAAAAGUCUUUGUGUUUGCACCUGACAAAUUAAACUUCAAAUAAAAAAUCAGUUGCACAGAUAUGGUAGGUGUGGUGCAUGGACACUAUGGUUGUCAGGAUUCAGGUUGGAGUGAGGGUUCUUUCCAGAGACGAGCUACGCGGAGGAGUUUGACAGCCUGACGCACCUGCAACAGAUUCCGGUAACCAGCGGCAGGCUUCUUAAGAAGCGGUGGAACCACCAGUCAUCGCUCGAUGGUUACCACUUGUUGACCUUGAUCCCGCUUCCCGGAGCCAAGCCUGGAACUUCGCUGGUCGGGCACGUCUCGCUGUUUGGCACCUCCAAGCCGUUCCAAUCCGCUGCUGUCCCGGACCCCCGAACUUACCUGGACUCUCGUUUCCUUCUGACGUCCUCUAGUCUCGAUUCUUGAACAAUCGUUUGACUGAUUAAAAACAAACCCUCUUAACAGUAAAGUCUGUUCUUCGGUGCGCACCUGCAUGUGGGCAAGGAAACUAAAAUCCAACAUGACAAUGGUGGGCGUGCUGCAUAUUUCUUUACAUGUCAACAAAUGCUGACAAAUUAUGUAUGCUACAGCAUUAAAUGUAUUGUAAAGCAAUGCAUUCUCAUCUUCCCACACUACUGAAGUGCAAGGCAAAAAUCUAAUUGUGUGAGAGAGAUACAGUAGUUAAUUGUGUAUUCUGUUGAGUUAACCCCUUGCUGCACAAAAGCACUGACAUGUGAGACAAUGGUGUCAUGAAGACACCAGUGUCCUCAAGACAGAGAUUAAUGCAACAUCACUGUCUAAUGAUGCCCGGAAAUAACAGAGGUCUAUUCAAGUAUCAAUUCUGUCAAAAAUAAAAUACCUACUCAAAAUCGACUGGAAUAAGCCAAACAACAUAAACAUGUAUGAACAAAAUGCUGAAAAAAACACAUCUAUUUCUAUUUCUCAAGAAGUUUCCAUCACUGACCAGACAUGCUUUCUACAUAUGUAUGCUCAUUCUUUUUAAACUUUGCAUUCAGGAGAGUGAAAUGAUUUUUUAAUAUAGAAAAGAUACAGGCAACUAUCUCAUUGCAGUCCAGAGCCUAACAGCUCCCAGUUUGUCUCUCUCCAGGCUUCUGGCCCAGGGCUACCGGCUAUCUCUUCGGAAAAAGGGUCAGCAGGAGCACUCUGCACUCAUAAAACCAAGCCAAUUAACACACCCUCUUUCGGAAACCUGCAUUACUUAUUCAGUAUCCCUGCUUAGGAUCAGGACUGGGUUGAGGGAGGAGAUAGGAAGGAUGCAGGAAGAGAUGAAGGAGAUCAGUGGAUAUGUGGAGUUUAAUUACCAAAGCUCAGCAAGCCAUCUUCAUAGAACUAAUUUCUUGGCAGGAGCCAACGGAAGCAGGCUAGCAGCACCCGGAGCUAGUAUCUGUGUUUCUGACAUGUUACUCAUUCACAGAGGUGUUCUAUUUAACCACACUUAGAUCAGGGUGAAACAACUCCUAUUUGACAAGGCUGACACACUUUUAGAUGAAUAAUGAAGGAAGUGUUUUUGUCAAAUCCCCUAAUUGGUUUAACGGGAAAAAUAAUUUCCUUGUAGUUUGAGGAACCGUCCUUGUUGUCAGGAAGUGACUCAAUGUCCUGUGUAGAUAACUUUCCAAUCAUGAUGUCCUCAAAAUAUCACUAAACAGAAAUGUGUUGGCUUGGUGCAAGGAUAAACACUUAGUUUCACACCAAAAGAAGGAAAUGUGAUUAAGUCCCCACAUUUCCACAUCAAGCGAUAAACAUCAUUAGAUGGAAAUUGCCCCCAUCUAAUUUGUUGUGAAGUGUCUGUGAUGUCACGAUUGGAUGUGCUCCUCUGAAUAAGAUACUGGCAACCUCAGCCUGUUCGAAAAACACUUUGAUUUGAUUGAUCAUGCUAUGUUGUUGGCACCAGUAAUACUGGCAUAGCAAAAAUGGAUUCUCUGCUUUAACUAAGCAUUGAGAGAGAAGGAAAGAAGGUCCUAUGACCCAUCUCAGUUUACAAGUGUCAUAAUGUUUAUGUAUUUGUUUGAUAAAAUGACAAAUGCAAUCUAGUACUAGAUCAAGCCAAUAAUCAACAAAACACCAUCAUCUAUACAUUUCUAUAUUACCUAUGCAUGAUUUUUUAAUAAUUUCAGUCUUCAAUAGGAAUUUGAAUCUCUUUGCAUGUCCUGGAUUUGUUGUUAAAUAAUGAACAAACUGUUGUUUAAUUCAAGGGAGUAAAUAUGAUACAUUCUUAAUUCAGAAACGACAGGUUCUAUCUUCCCUGACUGCUUCUACUUAUGCAUGAUUUCUCAUUAUGCAGACACUCAAACACUCAAACCCAAUUAAAGGUUCCUUCUUAUGGUAUAGAGUGUUUCUUAUAGCGUUUCUCAUUCCAUAUCACUUUUAUAAAACAGAAUAGAAAA